rnacentral:rRNA from 1 species
UACGUAGGGUGCAAGCGUUAAUCGGAAUUACUGGGCGUAAAGCGUGCGCAGGCGGUUAUGUAAGACAGUUGUGAAAUCCCCGGGCUCAACCUGGGAACUGCAUCUGUGACUGCAUAGCUAGAGUACGGUAGAGGGGGAUGGAAUUCCGCGUGUAGCAGUGAAAUGCGUAGAUAUGCGGAGGAACACCGAUGGCGAAGGCA